rnacentral:rRNA from 1 species
AUGAACGCUGGCGGCGUGCCUAACACAUGCAAGUCGAACGAAGCACCUCGCCCGAUGAAGAGGAGAGCUUGCUCAAAUCGGAAUCAAUUGAGGUGACUUAGUGGCGGACGGGUGAGUAACGCGUGGGUAACCUGCCGUAUACAGGGGGAUAACAGUUAGAAAUGACUGCUAAUACCGCAUAAGCGCACGGUAUCGCAUGAUACAGUGUGAAAAGCCGAGACGGUAUACGAUGGACCCGCGUCUGAUUAGCCAGUUGGCAGGGUAACGGCCUACCAAAGCAACGAUCAGUAGCCGGCCUGAGAGGGUGAACGGCCACAUUGGGACUGAGACACGGCCCAAACUCCUACGGGAGGCAGCAGUGGGGGAUAUUGCACAAUGGGGGAAACCCUGAUGCAGCCGACGCCGCGUGAGCGAAGAAGUAUUUCGGUAUGUAAAGCUCUAUCAGCAGGGAAGAAAAUGACGGUACCUGACUAAGAAGCUCCGGCUAAAUACGUGCCAGCAGCGGC